GACGAACGCUGGCGGCGUGCUUAACACAUGCAAGUCGAGCGGAAAGGCCCUUCGGGGGACUCGAGCGGCGAACGGGCGAGUAAGACGUGAGUAACCGGACCCAGACUUUGGGAGAACCCGCGGACACGGGGGCUAAUGCCGGAUACGCCACAGCUUCGAUGGGGGUCUGGGUGGAAUGGUGUUCGGUUUGGGAUGGGCUCGCGGCUGAUCAGUUUGUGGCUGGGGUGUUGGCCUCUCACGGCGAGGACGGUUAGCCGGCCUUCGAGGAGGACCGGCCACACUGGUCCUGCGGCACGGCCCAGCCGCCUACGGGCGGCAGCAGUGGGGAAUAUUGCACAAUGGGCGGACGCCUGAUGCCGCGGCCCCGCGGGCGGGAUGCCGUCCUUCGAGUUGUAAACCACUGUCUGCGGGGACGAAGCGUAAUUGACGGUACCUGCAGAAGAAGCGCCGGCUAACUACGUG
rnacentral:rRNA from 1 species